UACGUAGGGUGCAAGCGUUGUCCGGAAUUAUUGGGCGUAAAGAGCUCGUAGGCGGUCUGUCGCGUCGGCUGUGAAAACUCAGGGCUCAACCCCGAGCCUGCAGUCGAUACGGGCAGACUAGAGUUCGGUAGGGGAGACUGGAAUUCCUGGUGUAGCGGUGAAAUGCGCAGAUAUCAGGAGGAACACCGGUGGCGAAGGCGGGUCUCUGGGCCGAAACUGACGCUGAGGAGCGAAAGCGUGGGGAGCGAACAGG
rnacentral:rRNA from 1 species